rnacentral:rRNA from 1 species
UGCAGCAGGCGCGAAACCUUUACACUGCACGACAGUGCGAUAGGGGGACACCGAGUGCGAGGGCAUAGAGCCCUCGCUUUUGUAGACCGUAAGGAGGUACACGAAUAAGGGCUGGGCAAGACCGGUGCCAGCCGCCGCGGUAACACCGGCAGCCCAAGUGAUGGCCGAUAUUAUUGGGCCUAAAGCGUCCGUAGCUGGCCGCGCAAGUUCGUCGGGAAAUCCACUCGCUUAACGAGUGGGCGUCCGGCGAAAACUGUGCGGCUUGGGACCGGAAGAUCCAAGGGGUACGUCCGGGGUAGGAGUGAAAUCCCGUAAUCCUGGACGGACCACCGAUGGCGAAAGCACCUCGGAAGGACGGAUCCGACAGUGAGGGACGAAAGCUAGGGUCUCG